UUCUGUAAGCCUGUGAAGGUGAGUUGAGAAGCUUGCUGGAGGUAUCAGAAGUGCGAAUGCUGACAUGAGUAACGACAAUGGGUGUGAAAAACACCCACGCCGAAAGACCAAGGGUUCCUGCGCAACGUUAAUCGACGCAGGGUUAGUCGGUUCCUAAGGCGAGGCUGAAAAGCGUAGUCGAUGGGAAACAGGUUAAUAUUCCUGUACUUCUGGUUACUGCGAUGGAGGGACGGAGAAGGCUAGGCCAGCUUGGCGUUGGUUGUCCAAGUUUAAGGUGGUAGGCUGAAAUCUUAGGUAAAUCCGGGGUUUCAAGGCCGAGAGCUGAUGACGAGUCGUCUUUUAGAUGACGAAGUGGUUGAUGCCAUGCUUCCAAGAAAAGCUUCUAAGCUUCAGGUAACCAGGAACCGUACCCCAAACCGACACAGGUGGUCGGGUAGAGAAUACCAAGGCGCUUGAGAGAACUCGGGUGAAGGAACUAGGCAAAAUGGCACCGUAACUUCGGGAGAAGGUGCGCCGGCUAGGGUGAAGGAUUUACUCCGUAAGCUCUGGCUGGUCGAAGAUACCAGGCCGCUGCGACUGUUUAUUAAAAACACAGCACUCUGCAAACACGAAAGUGGACGUAUAGGGUGUGACGCCUGCCCGGUGCCGGAAGGUUAAUUGAUGGGGUUAGCGCAAGCGAAGCUCUUGAUCGAAGCCCCGGUAAACGGCGGCCGUAACUAUAACGGUCCUAAGGUAGCGAAAUUCCUUGUCGGGUAAGUUCCGACCUGCACGAAUGGCGUAACGAUGGCGGCGCUGUCUCCACCCGAGACUCAGUGAAAUUGAAAUCGCUGUGAAGAUGCAGUGUAUCCGCGGCUAGACGGAAAGACCCCGUGAACCUUUACUGUAGCUUUGCACUGGACUUUGAGCCUGCUUGUGUAGGAUAGGUGGGAGGCUUUGAAGCGUGGACGCCAGUUCGCGUGGAGCCAUCCUUGAAAUACCACCCUGGCAUGCUUGAGGUUCUAACUCUGGUCCGUGAUCCGGAUCGAGGACAGUGUAUGGUGGGCAGUUUGACUGGGGCGGUCUCCUCCUAAAGAGUAACGGAGGAGUACGAAGGUGCGCUCAGACCGGUCGGAAAUCGGUCGCAGAGUAUAAAGGCAAAAGCGCGCUUGACUGCGAGACAGACACGUCGAGCAGGUACGAAAGUAGGUCUUAGUGAUCCGGUGGUUCUGUAUGGAAGGGCCAUCGCUCAACGGAUAAAAGGUACUCCGGGGAUAACAGGCUGAUACCGCCCAAGAGUUCAUAUCGACGGCGGUGUUUGGCACCUCGAUGUCGGCUCAUCACAUCCUGGGGCUGAAGCCGGUCCCAAGGGUAUGGCUGUUCGCCAUUUAAAGUGGUACGCGAGCUGGGUUUAGAACGUCGUGAGACAGUUCGGUCCCUAUCUGCCGUGGACGUUUGAGAUUUGAGAGGGGCUGCUCCUAGUACGAGAGGACCGGAGUGGACGAACCUCUGGUGUUCCGGUUGUCACGCCAGUGGCAUUGCCGGGUAGCUAUGUUCGGAAAAGAUAACCGCUGAAAGCAUCUAAGCGGGAAACUUGCCUCAAGAUGAGAUCUCACUGGGAACUUGAUUCCCCUGAAGGGCCGUCGAAGACUACGACGUUGAUAGGCUGGGUGUGUAAGCGUUGUGAGGCGUUGAGCUAACCAGUACUAAUUGCCCGUGAGGCUUGACCA
rnacentral:rRNA from 1 species